rnacentral:rRNA from 1 species
AACGAACGCUGGCGGCAGGCCUAACACAUGCAAGUCGAGCGGACCCUUCGGGGUUAGCGGCGGACGGGUGAGUAACGCGUGGGAACGUUCCCUUUGUUUCGGAAUAGCCCUGGGAAACUGGGAGUAAUACCGGAUACGCCCUUUUGGGGAACGAUUUAUCGGCGAAGGAUCGGCCCGCGUUGGAUUAGGUUGUUGGUGGGGUAAUGGCCUACCAAGCCGACGAUCCAUAGCUGGUUUGAGAGGAUGAUCAGCCACACUGGGACUGAGACACAGCCCAGACUCCUACGGGAAGAAGAAGUGGGGGAACUUAGACAAUGGGAGAAAACCUGAUCUAGCCAUGACGCGUGAGCGAUGAAGGCCUUAGGGUUGUAAAGAGAUUUGAACGGGGAAGAUAAUGACGGUACCCGGAGAAGAAGCCCCGGCUAACUCCGUG